rnacentral:sRNA from 1 species
UCGUAACGGUUUUUUGCCGGAGGAUUGA